UACGGAGGGUGCAAGCGUUAUCCGGAUUCACUGGGUUUAAAGGGUGCGUAGGUGGGCAGGUAAGUCAGUGGUGAAAUCUCCGGGCUUAACUCGGAAACUGCCAUUGAUACUAUCUUUCUUGAAUACCGUGGAGGUCAGCGGAAUAUGUCAUGUAGCGGUGAAAUGCUUAGAUAUGACAUAGAACACCAAUUGCGAAGGCGGCUCACUGGACCGGAACUGACGCUGAGGCGCGAAAGCGUGGGGAGCAAACAGG
rnacentral:rRNA from 1 species